AGAAAUAAAAAGCAUGAAAGUCAUGCUUGAAAUUGUCAAAACAGUUCCAGUUUGUCUCAUCUGCUUGGGGGGGAGGAUGAAUCCUCGAUCUGGGGGCUUUCUCUGGGAGUUGGCACACGAUAGUUACCAUUCAUCAGCACCCACUAUGUGCCGGACACUAUCUCUUAUCCUUUCAACAUCGGUCAAAGUGAAUGUAACUACCUCUACUUUAUAUCUGAGGAAUCUGAAGCUUUGAGAAAUUAAAUUACUUAUCCAAAAUCAAACAGUGCUGAUGAAAAGCCAGGUCUUAUCAGCAUACCAACCUGCUAAGUGUUUAGUUUGGUUAAAAAAGAAGAAGAAGAAGAAGAAGAGAAGUCUAGCCAAUCACAUCCUGUAUGCUGAAUCCUGGAGCACAGCAGAGACAUUGGACUAUGAACACACAUGACAAGUCCCAGAGCUCCAAGUAAGCAGAGCCAGCAGAGAGUCUGUCCAGAGGAGACCCAAAACCCGAGAAGCUCCUUUUCUUCUUUGUUUCAAUUACAUCAUUCUCCAGAGACAAAAGUUCAUCAAGAAGCAAGAGUUUUGCUGCCAGAUUAGUAGCUGAUUUCUCCUCCCCGACUGUGGGCGGUGCCUGCACAUCUAUGACUCCAGAAUCAAAAGCCUAUAGGGCAAGAAAGGUGAUUCCAUUUGUUCAGAAAAAGAAACCUUAAAUAUAUAUAAUCAUCUGCAUUUGGCUUUUGCUAGCUUUAGCUCACCUGCCUGCCAUGAUACUUGAUUUCUUAUGGUUUUAUGUUUCUAGAAAAAGACUUGUGGAGACAAAAAUGCAUAGAGAUGAUGUAUGUCUAAACACAAUUAAAACAAUACACACACACACACACACACACACAAACACACAGGAAAAAAGGAAAAACUACAGGUCUGCCUCUAAAAUUUAGUAUCUUAACUGAUCAUUCUUUUAGGUUCUUUCCCAGUAACAGCUGCAUCCUUCCUUAUCAUUCCCAUAGCACUUUAUCUUUCUUCAUUGUACUCAUUACAUUUUCCCUUGUAUUAGAUUGGUACAAUAAAUUUGUAUUGCAUAUUAGAUUGUGAGUAACCUGGGGGCAAUAACUAUGUCUAAUUAGUCCUUUAUUUUUUCACUCUAUUCAAUGCUUAAGCCAGUAUUUUGCUUAUAGUUAGUACUCAGUAAAUUUCUGAAUAUUUCUUGAAUGAAUUUUGAAAAUGCAAACCUCACACUGUUAUCGUUUCACCAUUCAUUCACACCUUAUUGAAUCAAGCCAUUAAGCACCCACUAUGUACCAGGUUCUGCAUUAGACCUGAGGGGUAAAAAAAUGAACAAAAUCCGGUUUCUGCCCUCAGGAAGCUUACUAUCUCUUUCCAUGUGAUGCAUUACCACAUGUUAAUGAGUGUCUACAGUGAGUCAUAACUAUCCCAAUGACUUUAUCCUCCUGUGUAAAAUUUCUUGUUUGUUACAUAUAUUGCCACUUUGCACUGUAUUCAAGACAUAAAAGUGUGGUGUCUUUUCCUUUCCUAAUCCUGGUCACAGCAUUUUAAAAAGUGUUCCUAUUAACUGUCUCUAGUCAUUGUGGAGUCUGGGGGAUAUUACUUCUUUUCUAGGAAAGUGAGAAUAUUCCCCUGUGGGAAGAAACUAGCUCCAGGGAUCUCCUUCCUGCCCCUCUGUAUGUCACAUUCCUCCUUGUGCCAGACUUGGUCUUGGCAAGACUCUUUUUCUUCACUUCCUUUCUUUCUUCUUAGAUUAUUUCUUCCGUUCUCUUUCUAUGUUCUUCAUUUUCCCCAAUAAAAUGAAAGAGCGGCCUUUUCCAAGCCUUUUCAUCAUUGGCUCCAGCAACUCUCUCUUGUGAAAUAUAUAUAGUCUGACACCUAGACUCAAAGCUAUUGAACCUCCUCUUUCCUAAACCAACCAAAUUUGCACUAAGUCUGGUCAGUUCUUCCUGGAAAAACUCUCUUGCUCUUUCUGAUUCCCAUCAGUAGUGACUUAUAUCAGCUCCUCUUCACUGCUUAGUGUAGCUUCACUCCUAAUCACCUCAUAACCUGCUUCUCUAUCCUCUGUCUCCCCCUUUUCUCUUCUAUCCUGAAUACUGCCAAGAAGCUAAUUAUUGCAAACACACUCUCAUCUGGUAGAAAGAAAAUAAGAAAUCUCUCCUGGCUCUUGUUAUUUAUAACGCAGAUUGCACAAUGUCCACAGACUCCUUUUAAAAUUUCAACGUCUAUCACUCUCCUACAUAAACUUGACAACAUAGAAACUGGGGAAGGGAAGGAUGCUAUAAUCAUGAGAAAGAAACUCUAGAGAGUAGUAGACAAACUUUCAAAGGGCAAAGAUAGGAUAUCUUUUAUUAUCUCUUAGUGCAUCCUCCAAAAAAUAUGUUUUCAUUCUUCCAACUGCCACACAUACAAAAUAGAGUUUUGUUCCUUUUUAAAGAUACUCUUAAUUAAUCCUAAGGGGAAAAAAAAAACAUAGCUCUCAUGUAAAACUUCCUUCAGCAAAGUGCUUUUCAGAUUCUCACUUGUUAUUUACAAAGUACAGAGAACACUUUCUAAUAAGAUCAAAUUAGCCAAAUUAACAUUUCUCUGUGUACUUUAGUCAUGGAGGCAAGAAAACAUUUGUAUAGUCAUACAAAGUUUGGCCAAAGCGACUCAAAUUUUGAAAUGUAACAACUUCAAAUUUCCCACAAAAGCACUUCAUCUUAAUGUAAUUGAUUUAAUUAAAAAUAUGGCCAAAAGGAUAUUGAAUUUUCUCUUAAUGCUUUUUUGUUCAAGGAAUACACAUCUUUAUUACUUCCAUUUUAUUUUUUGGCAUUCAGAUAACUGGCCUUCUCUGAAUCUACAGUGAGGUCAAGACAAUAGAAAAAAAAAGUCUAUUUCCUUGAUUUUGUGCUAUCAAGACAUCUCUCUAUUUGUCAGCAGCACCUGCUUCUGAUAAGUAGAAAUGGCUUAUGUUCAUAAAAAAAAAAUAUGGUCCCUUAGGCUAGUUUCCAUUACCUCUGUUGCUACAUCCACUGAACGUACUUUUCCUGAACUCCACAGCAUCAACAUCACAGCCAGAAUAAAAUGUGCAUUUGCCAAU